rnacentral:rRNA from 1 species
UACGGAGGGGGCUAGCGUUGUUCGGAAUUACUGGGCGUAAAGCGCACGUAGGCGGCUUUGUAAGUUAGAGGUGAAAGCCCGGGGCUCAACUCCGGAAUUGCCUUUAAGACUGCAUCGCUAGAAUUGUGGAGAGGUAGUGGAAUUCCGAGUGUAGAGGUGAAAUUCGUAGAUAUUCGGAAGAACACCAGUGGCGAAGGCGACUCACUGGACACGUAUUGACGCUGAGGUGGCGAAAGCGUGGGGAGCAAACAGG